rnacentral:rRNA from 1 species
UACGUAGGGUGCAAGCGUUGUCCGGAAUUAUUGGGCGUAAAGAGCUCGUAGGCGGUUUGUCGCGUCUGCUGUGAAAACGCGAGGCUCAACCUCGCGCCUGCAGUGAGUACGGGCAGACUAGAGUGCGGUAGGGGAGAUUGGAAUUCCUGGUGUAGCGGUGAAAUGCGCAGAUAUCAGGAGGAACACCAAUAGCGAAGGCAGCUCGCUGGGACGGUACUGACGCUAAGGCGCGAAAGCGUGGGGAGCGAACAGG